rnacentral:rRNA from 1 species
CCUACGGGAGGCAGCAGUGAGGAAUAUUGGUCAAUGGCCGGAAGGCUGAACCAGCCAUGCCGCGUGACGGUCAGUGCCCUAUGGGCGUUAAACUUCUUUUGUGCGGGCGCAAUAAUGGUCACGUGUGGCCAGACGAGGGUACCGUACGAAUAAGCAUCGGCUAACUCCGUGCCAGCAGCCGCGGUAAUACGGGGGAUGCCAGCGUUAUCCGGAGUUAUUGGGUUUAAACGGUGCGUAGGCUGUGAGGUAAGUCAGCGGUGAAAUGCCCCCGCUCAACGGGGUGAAGAGCCAUUGAUACUGCCUGGCUGGAAUGCGGAUGCCGUGGGAGGAAUGUGUGGUGUAGCGGUGAAAUGCAUAGAUAUCACACAGAACACCGAUUGCGAAGGCAUCUCACGAAUCCGCGAUUGACGCUGAUGCACGAAAGCGUGGGUAUCAAACAGGAUUAGAUACACCAGUAGUC